GGGUUAUGGUCUAAUGGUUAAGGCGCCUGGUGAUGGAUCAGGAGAAUACCGGGUUCAAAAUCCUGGUAAGCCCG
rnacentral:tRNA from 1 species